GGUGGCUCAAUGGUAGAGCACUUGUCUUGCAUACAUGAGGCUGUGGGUUCGAUUCCUCAGCACCA
rnacentral:tRNA from 1 species